UUGCAAAACGCUCUACUAUCACCCACGCUACAAAAAAAUCCACCCGACACCCGAUCCAGAUCCCCUCCACCCCCGGCCUCCCUUCCACCUCCUCUCUUCUCCCAACCCACUCGCCGUCGGCCCUGCUGAAGAGCAGCGGAGGGGCCAUGGCGACGAACAAGAGACCCGCCGCGUUCGUUGUCCCCGACGUCGUGCUCGCCUACUUGCGCGGCCAGCCCGCUCGCGCGGCCCCUCUCCCCCUUCCGCCUCCCCUAAGCCCGUGCCUCACUCGUCUCUGCUGAUCCGCGCAGGACUCCUUCGCCUACGACGAGAGGGACGUGGUGCUCUACGCGCUCAGCGUGGGGGCCUGCGGCGCGGACGCCGUCGACGAAAAGGAGCUCGACCUCGUGCACCACAGGGAUGGCCAGCGCCACAUCAAGGUCCCCCGCCCCUUCUCUCCCUCUCCCGAUCUGAUCCCCUCUCGUUUCUGCGCCAAUUGGUUGCAGCGACUUGGAUUCCCAAAUCGUAUCAAUUCGGGCCGCUGGAAUUGAUUUUGAACAAGAAUGGCAGCAACCGGAUGCAAUUUUGAGUAGUACAUAUUGAAUAAGCUGACCAACCAGCAACCCCUCACAUGGUCUGUAUUUUCAAGCAAUUUUCUUCUCCAUGUAGGACAUUGACUCUGUCACUCUUUGAAGGAAAAUAUAAAGACUUUGAUGCCCAAAGACUCAAACUAUUUGUGUGACUUUGAUCGAGCAAUAUCCAUUGUUUAUCAUGGGUUCGCUAAUAUGUUGAUGAAUACUAUUUGGCAAAUAGGGUGAGGUUGUUAGUUGCCUGGGUAAAAAUACAUGGAGUAUUCAUACAGUACAUAGUAAUAGCAAGUUACUGAUAAUUUUUGUCUAUCCAUCAGCCUUGGCUCAUGUCUAUGACUAUGCACAUGUAGGUGUAUACAUGUUCUCUUAGUCAACUGUUAAUUCACUGGACCGCUGACAGUUUUUUAUUAGUGUGAAUGUGAUUCCCCUUGUAACUAAGCAAAGUGAUACGCGGAGGAAUUGGCAGCCAAGGUGGCUCCACCUCGACAUCGGACCUCCCACUGGACAGAAUCGGAGUGGGACAAUGUUGGUUCGAUGGUCGAUGGCGCCUGCGUAUAGGAAAGAAGAAGACGACGGAAGCUGCGCAGGAGUUGGUAUGGCUUGGCUAGGACAGCUCAUGGACAGGAACAAUGGGCAAGAAUUGCAUACGAGGCAGAGCGUAAGACGAUUUGUUUUUUGAGGAACUGAGCAGGAGGAACAAGGGAGAGCAGUAACAAUGGGGAGAAGCGCUCCCUGUCCUAAUCCAUCAUGGUUGUGGCCUUGCCUUCUCAAAGGUGUUUCAUUGUGUUCUUGCCGGUUUGAAUUGUUUGUUCCUCAAGUUGAGGAUGCUAUUCCAGUCCAAUGCCACAGCGUAUUUUCUUAUCUCUUUCUUUAUUUGAUGGGUGCUUAUCCAUCUUAAGACUGCAACUGCAAGUUCCAUUAUCGUCUACAUGUCUUUCAGAUUGUUUUUUAUACGGUGGAGAAGCUUUGUGCAGGUGCUCACGACCAAGAUUGCUGCUGUUUGUACUACAUACCGCUUUAUGCAUUGGCUAAAUUUUUAGUUUGGCUUCUCACACAAUGGUUUGCUUACCUAAAUCUUUGUGUAUGUUCGCACUGCGGGGCUGUGAACCUGUGAUGCAUCGGUGGACGAAUCUGGUUUACGAGAAAGAGACAUAUGCGAGCGCUUUGUUUUGUCUUUCAGGGUGCCUCCUACAAAUACAAAUACAUGCUCAGGUCGAGUAUAUAUGUUUGUUUCUUUGUCCACCGGUUAGACUAAAACUUAUUUUAGUAGGGUAAUAUAAUAUUUUGUGGUAACUGUCCACGCGUUGAGAAAAAAAUGGAUGGAGUGAGUUGAGGUGCAAUUCCUACAAAGUAAAUAAUAGAAAUUCUAAUAAAGCAUUGGUUCAACUAAAACAUUCACAAUUCCUUUUGGGAUUCUUCAGAUCCAAAUCCUAGCCAGUCCAUUUGGUUAACACAAAUGGAUUACUGAAAUGAAUAUGCAAAAAAAAUCAGAGAUGAUCACCUUGGGAUUGACAAUGCAUUGUCAUCAAAUAGACACUGCGGCCACCAUCGUAGAGGGCGGAAAGGAGGAUAAGCGACACGAAUGGGAUGCCAUGUUUAAAUAGAGAACAUGGAAUUGCGUGGGGAGAGGGUUAUCCUUUAGCCAUUAAGCCAUGCUUAUUAGGCUUGGGGUAUGUAGUUUUUCUCCCGUUGCAGCACACGAACCUUUUUCUAGUAUAACUUUAACAGCUACAAUCUUGAGAUUUUUUUUCUUUCUUUUUUGGCCCAUGCUUUCCACUCAUUUUCUGCACAACAAAGAUAGAGGCUACACACCUCCACAUGAUUUAUCUCUCUCAAAAAAUAACCUCCACAUGAUUGGCACUCCAAACUCCAAAGGAUUUCCAGCCACAACUCCCGUGUGGUCAGAAAUACAAGUCAUGUCAAGUGGAGCACUAGGUACACACUCUGCUGUGUAAACACACACACACACACACAAAGAUACUUCAAUCCACUCCUUUAUUCUUGCUAGGAGUCUCGCUGCUCUGCCUCACGCGGUCACCGGAGUCUGGUCGACGGCAAGACUCUGGGUUGAUCGACGCUGACUAGCGCGGCUCGGUGGGCGUUGUGCUCUUCAACCCAGUGAAGCCCGGCAGCCACGUCGCAAGAUGAUCGUCCAGGUGAUCGUGACGGCGAAGGUCACCGAGGUGGAGGACCUCGACGCCACCGUCCGAGGGUAGGGAGGAUUUGGGUCCACCGGCGUCUGAACUACGAGCCUUGGUAGAUACAUCUAGAGAAGUGCUUUGUUUAGGUUGGUGGUGAACACUAGGGAAGGUACCCACGUUUCGAUGAUGGUUGUGUGUGUCUGAUGUUAAAUGGAUUCUUGUGAUCUCUUCCAGUUGAGAUGGUUCUGUGACCUUAGUUUAUCUUGCA